ACCAUGGAGAGUUUGAUCCUGGCUCAGGAUGAACGCUGGCGGUAUGCUUAACACAUGCAAGUCGAACGCAGAUGUAAAUUUGAGUGGCGGACGGGUGAGUAACGCGUGAGAAUCUACCUCAAGGAGGGGAAUAACAAUUGGAAACGAUUGCUAAUGCCCCAUAUGCUGAGAAGUAAAAUAGAGUAAUCUGCCUAGAGAAGAGCUCGCGUCUGAUUAGUUUGUUGGUGAGGUAAUGGCUUACCAAGACUACGAUCAGUAGUUGGUCUUAGAGGAUGAUCAGCCACACUGGGACUGAGACACGGCCCAGACUCCUACGGGAGGCAGCAGUGGGGAAUUUUCCGCAAUGGGCGAAAGCCUGACGGAGCAAUACCGCGUGAGGGAAGAAGGCCCGUGGGUUGUAAACCUCUUUUCUUAAGAAAGAAUUUUGACGGUACUUAAGGAAUAAGCAUCGGCUAACUCCGUGCCAGCAGCCGCGGUAAUACGGAGGAUGCAAGCGUUAUCC
rnacentral:rRNA from 1 species